CUCUCCCUCUUUCUUCAGGCCUAACACAUGCAAGUCGAACGAACCUUUCGGGGUUAGUGGCGGACGGGUGAGUAACACGUGGGAACGUGCCUUUAGGUUCGGAAUAACUCAGGGAAACUUGUGCUAAUACCGAAUGUGCCCUUCGGGGGAAAGAUUUAUCGCCUUUAGAGCGGCCCGCGUCUGAUUAGCUAGUUGGUUGAGGUAAUGGCUCACCAAGGCGACGAUCAGUAGCUGGUCUGAGAGGAUGAUCAGCCACAUUGGGACUGAGACACGGCCCAAACUCCUACGGGAGGCAGCAGUGGGGAAUCUUGCGCAAUGGGCGAAAGCCUGACGCAGCCAUGCCGCGUGAAUGAUGAAGGUCUUAGGAUUGUAAAAUUCUUUCACCGGGGACGAUAAUGACGGUACCCGGAGAAGAAGCCCCGGCUAACUUCGUG
rnacentral:rRNA from 1 species